GACGAACGCUGGCGGCGUGCUUAACACAUGCAAGUCGAACGGAAAGGCCCUGCUUUUGUGGGGUGCUCGAGUGGCGAACGGGUGAGUAACACGUGAGUAACCUGCCCUUGACUUUGGGAUAACUUCAGGAAACUGGGGCUAAUACCGGAUAUGAGCUCCUGCUGCAUGGUGGGGGUUGGAAAGUUUCGGCGGUUGGGGAUGGACUCGCGGCUUAUCAGCUUGUUGGUGGGGUAGUGGCUUACCAAGGCUUUGACGGGUAGCCGGCCUGAGAGGGUGACCGGCCACAUAGGGACAGAGAUACGGCCAAGACGCAUACGGGAGGAAGCAGUGGAAGAUAUUGCAAAAUGGGCGGAAGCAUGAUGCAGCAACGCCGCGUGCGGGAUGACGGCCGUCGGGUUGUAAACCGCUUUCGCCUGUGAAGAAGAGUAAGUGACGGUAAUGGGUAAAGAAGAAACGGCUAACUACGUG
rnacentral:rRNA from 1 species